GGAGAAAAGGGACUGGUGACUCUGGGCUACAGCUUGUGUAAAUCAGGAAUGCUAUUAACUAUUAAUGUCACGUGCAAAUUAUCCAAUUUAUUCUGAUGCGUCAAAAGCUAAAGACACACAGAAGACAAGUAUACAGAUCUAUCUAGCCAGCCUUUUGAUUUUAUAGAUCCUUGUACCAGUGUCUGUUGUGCCACAACUUGUGGAUUAGCAUGGAACAGCUGAUGAACGUAGAAAUCUUGGCAGUCCUUCUUUGAACCGAGGAGUGGCAGCGAUUUAAGACAGCUUGUACAAGUCUGACUACUCUCAAUUCAACUGCUGCCCUCUGCCAUUAUCUGUCUUGUAUUGUACAGGUUAUUAAAAGCUUUAGGCAACCAAUGACUUUCGGCUGCCAGUUCUCAUCACGUAAAACUAAAACAAGCUAAUCUCUGCUGGUGUCUUAGAUGACUAUAUCCUAGCUGAAUGCCUGAUGAUGUUAUUACUCCAUCAUCUUCUCUUUUCUAGCACUAGCAUCCAUUCUUAAACUGUAGCUAAGAAGCCCGCGAUCACUUUUGCAGGCUACGCAAUUCUACUUAACCUCACGCAAUUUUUGGAUCACGUGGAAAAAUCAAUGAAUAAUCUCUACCCAAAUUCUGGUAGAGACACAAAAUGUGUCCCAGAGUCACCAGUCCCUUUUCUCCCGCCCCCGUCCAAUCAGAGAAAAGGGAGUGGCUUGCGAGUCUACCUUCACAAGGCCUAAAUAGCGGCCUGGAAUCGAGGCUAGAACUUGAUGAGUCAGUCAUGCAGGAAACACAUUGUGCUUGAAAACAGAUGACCUUUUUUUUUUUUUUUUUUUAGUAAAAUAUUUUUAGCUCCCCCUAUCAAGAAUCCUGGAUCCACCCCUGAAUGUGAUGCACAUAAUUAUAAGUAAAGACCUACAUGUACAGAGUGUUAUGUACACAGAAGCACAGAGAAAGAGGCGUGAGUGACCUGGGGUCGAUCACUGGUGACUAGGUAUAGGAGUGACCGGGAGACAUUAUUUGGGGAGUCACUCGCUCCUAUAACACCGUCCGGUCAUGGCCGGUGGUAUGUUCAGGCCUAUGGCCGAUAAUAGUCAUGUCCAUUCUAAGUUGUUUUUUGUUCAUGUUGUAUUAUGCUCGGCAUGUGAUAUGUUCUAUAG